CUUAUCUUAAAAGUUUUUUUAUUUAAGUAGUGUAAAUGUUAAUUAUAUUAUGUGUAUUUGAAACUUAAAAAGCUUGGCGNUGUUAUAAACCCAUUUAGGGGAGCUUGUUUAUUAAUUUGAUAAUCCUCAAUUAAUUCUUACUUUUUUUGAAUGAGCAGUUUGUGUAUUGCUGUCGUCAGUUUAUKGUCGUAAGAAUAGCUAAAGGACUUAAAAAUAUUUAAAUUAAAAUGUCAAGUCAAAAUGCAGCUUAUGGAAAAGGUUUAUAGAAUGAGCUACAAUUUAUAGAUUUUAAUUGGAUUGAAUUUUGUAAAAGUUUAUAAAUUUGGACUUAAUAGUAAUAUAUAAUUAGUAUGUUUAUAUGAAUAUGGUUUUAUAACGCGU
rnacentral:rRNA from 1 species